GACAGAGGUGCCGAGCGUUAGGCGGAAUCACUGGGCUUAAAGCGUGUGUAGGCGGGCCGUUAAGUGGCUUGUGAAAUCCCCCGGCUCAACCGGGGAAUUGCUGGGCAUACUGGCGGUCUUGAGCGAUCUAGGGGCAGAUGGAACAAGUGGUGGAGUGGUGAAAUGCGUAGAUAUCAGGAGGAACACCCGUGGCUAAGGCGGCUCUCUAGUACGGUACUGACGCUGAGACGCGAAAGCGUGGGGAGCGAACAGG
rnacentral:rRNA from 1 species